rnacentral:rRNA from 1 species
AGAGUUUGAUCCUGGCUCAGGAUGAACGCUAGCGGCAGGCCUAAUACAUGCAAGCUGAACGGUAAAUGUUGUAGCAAUACAAUAUGAGAGUAGCGUAAGGGUGCGUAACACGUAUGCAAUCUACCCGCAACAGGAGGAUAGCUCCCCGAAAGGGGAAUUAAUACUCCAUAAGAUCACGAGAGGGCAUCUGAUUGUGAUUAAACUCCAAGGGGUUGCGGAUGAGCAUGCGUCUGAUUAGUUAGUUGGUGAGGUAAUGGCUCACCAAGACGAUGAUCAGUAGGGGAACUGAGAGGUUGAUCCCCCACACUGGCACUGAGAUACGGGCCAGACUCCUACGGGAGGCAGCAGUAGGGAAUAUUGGUCAAUGGGUGAGAGCCUGAACCAGCCAUGCCGCGUGCAGGAAGAAAGCCUUCUGGGUUGUAAACUGCUUUUGCCAGGGGAUAAAAUACCCGUGCGCGGGGAAUUGAAGGUACCUGGUGAAUAAGCCACGGCUAACUACGUGCCAGCAGCCGCGGUAAUACGUAGGUGGCAAGCGUUGUCCGGAUUUAUUGGGUUUAAAGGGUGCGUAGGCGGCCCUGUAAGUCAGUGGUGRAAUACGGCAGCUUAACUGUCGAGGUGCCAUUGAUACUGCAGGGCUAGAGUACUGUUGAGGUAGGCGGAAUGGACGGUGUAGCGGUGAAAUGCUUAGAUAUCGUCCAGAACACCGAUAGCGAAGGCAGCUUACUAAAGAGUAACUGACGCUGAGGCACGAAAGUGUGGGGAUCAAACAGGAUUAGAUACCCUGGUAGUCC